rnacentral:rRNA from 1 species
AGUGAACGCUGGCGGUAGGCCUAACACAUGCAAGUCGAACGGCAGCACAGUAAGAGCUUGCUCUUACGGGUGGCGAGUGGCGGACGGGUGAGGAAUACAUCGGAAUCUACUUUUUCGUGGGGGACAACGGAGGGAAACUUAUGCUAACACCGCAUACGAUCUACGGGUGAAAGCAGGGGUUCUUCGGACCUUUCGCGUCUGAAUGAGCCGAUGUCGGAUUAGCUAGUUGGCGAGGUAAAGGCCCACCAAGGCGACGAUCCGUAGCUGGUCUGAGAGGAUGAUCAGCCACACUGGAACUGAGACACGGUCCAGACUCCUACGGGAGGCAGCAGUAGGGAAUAUUGGACAAUGGGCGCAAGCCUGAUCCAGCCAUACCGCGUGAGUGAAGAAGGCCUUCGGGUUGUAAAGCCCUUUUAUUGGGAAAGAAAAGCAGCAGAUUAAUACCCCGCUGUUCUGACGGUACCCAAAGAGUAAGCACCGGCUAACUUCGUG